AGGCCUGAUGUGUGUGAGAUUACCCGCUGAAUUUAAGCAUAUAAGUAAGCGGAGGAAAAGAAACUAACUAGGAUUCCCUUAGUAAUGGCGAAUGAACAGGGAUCAGCUCAGUGCCAAAUCGGAAUCACUUGUGGUUCUGAAAUGUGGCUUGAAGGCAGUACCAGUGGCAUCGCGGACGAAAGUCUCUUGGAAAAGAGCGUCAUAGAGGGUGAGAAUCCCGUGAGUCGUUCGCCGUUUGUCACGUACGGUCUGCGUUCUAACGAGUCGCGUUCCUUGGGAUUGGAGCGUAAACGGGUGGUAAAUUUCAUCCAAAGCAAAAUAUAUACUCGAGACCGAUAGCACAAAAGUACCGUGAGGGAAAGGUGAAAAGAACUUUGAGAAGAGGGUUAAAUAGUGCCUGAAAUCGUUGAGAAGGAAGCGGAUGCCGCCGUUGCAUAUGCUGAUUGUAGGAUUGCUGCUCGCUCCUGUCUUCUGCUACUCAUUCACAGACCUGGUCGUGUUGAGCAGUUGUUUGGCAGAUGUUAGUGGUGUUUCCUACUCUCAGUCGUCAGCAUCACUGGCUGAGUGGAAAUAAUCCUUGGAUGCUAAUUGGUUCGCUAUCUGUGAAUUGGUUGCUUCCUUGCGAUACUCACUACUCGGUCAGUGAGGAAGUGCGUUUGCUGGUCAACGAGCUUUCUAACUGUCAUUACCCUGCGCUUUUCGAUUCGUCGAGUGGCCAGGAUGUGGCUUUGAGAUUGUUCGCACUUAGUAAUCGCGAUGCUGGCUUCCAACGGUUGCCUCCGGCCCGUCUUGAAACACGGACCAAGGAGUCUAACGUAUGUGCGAGUGUGUGAGUGGCAAACUUAUACGCGUAAUGAAAGUGAGGCCGUAUGGCCAUGUUGGGGUCACCAACAACCGACCUUGAUCUUCGGUGAAAGGUUUGAGUAUGAGCAUAUCCGUUAGGACCCGAAAGAUGGUGAACUAUGCCUGAGCAGGGUGAAAGCCAGGGAAACUCUGGUGGAGGCUCGUAGCGAUACUGACGUGCAAAUCGUUCGUCAGACUUGGGUAUAGGGGCGAAGACUA
rnacentral:ncRNA from 1 species